rnacentral:rRNA from 1 species
UACAGAGGGUGCAAGCGUUGUUCGGAAUUAUUGGGCGUAAAGCGCGUGUAGGCGGCUUAGCAAGUCGGGCGUGAAAGCCCUCGGCUCAACCGAGGAAGUGCACCCGAAACUGCUGAGCUUGAGUGCCGGAGAGGAUGGCGGAAUACCCCAAGUAGAGGUGAAAUUCGUAGAUAUGGGGUGGAACACCCGUGGCGAAAGCGGCUCUCUGGAACGGUACUGACGCUGAGACGGCGAAAGCGUGGGGAGCGAACAGG